rnacentral:snRNA from 1 species
GUUCACUUCAGCAGCACAUAUACUAAAAGUGGAAAGAUACAGAGAAAAGAUUAGUGAGGCCCCUGCACAAGGAUGACAUACAUGCCAGUUUAUGAAGCAUUCCAUAUUUUC